rnacentral:rRNA from 1 species
AUUGAACGCUGGCGGCAGGCCUAACACAUGCAAGUCGAACGAGUGGCGGACGGGUGAGUAAUGUCUGGGAAACUGCCCGAUGGAGGGGGAAAACUACUGGAAACGGUAGCUAAUACCGCAUACCAUCGGCAGUGCCCAGUUUGGCUUAGCUUGUAGGUGAGGUAACGGCUCACCUAGGCGACGAUACCUCGCUGGUCUGAGAGGCUGUCCGGCCACACUGGAACUGAGACACGGUCCAGAUUCCUACGGGAGGAAGCAGUAGGGAAGAUUGCACAAUGGGCGAAAGCCUGAUGCAGCCAUGCCGCGUGUAUGAAGAAGGCCUUCGGGUUGUAAAGUACUUUCAGCGGGGAGGCGUUACCCGAAGAAGAAGCACCGGCUAACUCCGUGCCAGCAGCCGCGGUAAUAC